GGUAAACGGCGGCCGUAACUAUAACGGUCCUAAGGUAGCGAAAUUCCUUGUCGGGUAAGUUCCGACCUGCACGAAUGGCGUAAUGAUGGCCAGGCUGUCUCCACCCGAGACUCAGUGAAAUUGAACUCGCUGUGAAGAUGCAGUGUACCCGCGGCAAGACGGAAAGACCCCGUGAACCUUUACUAUAGCUUGACACUGAACAUUGAGCCUUGAUGUGUAGGAUAGGUGGGAGGCUUUGAAGCGUGGACGCCAGUCUGCGUGGAGCCGACCUUGAAAUACCACCCUUUAAUGUUUGAUGUUCUAACGUGGACCCGUAAUCCGGGUUGCGGACAGUGUCUGGUGGGUAGUUUGACUGGGGCGGUCUCCUCCUAAAGAGUAACGGAGGAGCACGAAGGUUGGCUAAUCCUGGUCGGACAUCAGGAGGUUAGUGCAAUGGCAUAAGCCAGCUUGACUGCGAGCGUGACGGCGCGAGCAGGUGCGAAAGCAGGUCAUAGUGAUCCGGUGGUUCUGAAUGGAAGGGCCAUCGCUCAACGGAUAAAAGGUACUCCGGGGAUAACAGGCUGAUACCGCCCAAGAGUUCAUAUCGACGGCGGUGUUUGGCACCUCGAUGUCGGCUCAUCACAUCCUGGGGCUGAAGUAGGUCCCAAGGGUAUGGCUGUUCGCCAUUUAAAGUGGUACGCGAGCUGGGUUUAGAACGUCGUGAGACAGUUCGGUCCCUAUCUGCCGUGGGCGCUGGAGAACUGAGGGGGGCUGCUCCUAGUACGAGAGGACCGGAGUGGACGCAUCACUGGUGUUCGGGUUGUCAUGCCAAUGGCACUGCCCGGUAGCUAAAUGCGGAAGAGAUAAGUGCUGAAAGCAUCUAAGCACGAAACUUGCCCCGA
rnacentral:rRNA from 1 species